CCUACGGGUGGCUGCAGUGAGGAAUAUUGGUCAAUGGGCGCGAGCCUGAACCAGCCAAGUCGCGUGAGGGAAGACGGUCCUAUGGAUUGUAAACCUCUUUUGUCGGGGAGCAAAAGACGCCACGCGUGGCGUUCCAAGAGUACCCGAAGAAAAAGCAUCGGCUAACUCCGUGCCAGCAGCCGCGGUAAUACGGAGGAUCCGAGCGUUAUCCGGAUUUAUUGGGUUUAAAGGGAGCGUAGGUGGAUUGUUAAGUCAGUUGUGAAAGUUUGCGGCUCAACCGUAAAAUUGCAGUUGAAACUGGCAGUCUGGAGUACAGUAGAGGUGGGCGGAAUUCGUGGUGUAGCGGUGAAAUGCUUAGAUAUCACGAAGAACUCCGAUUGCGAAGGCAGCUCACUGGACUGCAACUGACACUGAGGCUCGAAAGUGUGGGUAUCAAACAGGAUUAGAUACCCGAGUAGUC
rnacentral:rRNA from 1 species